rnacentral:hammerhead_ribozyme from 1 species
AUCCAGCUGAUGAGUCCCAAAUAGGAUGGAACAAGCGUCACACUGGAU